UUUAACAGUCACUCCGACUGAAAAUGGCGGCGGCGGCGGCUACUUUCGGCAUUCGCUCCGUUCCUUCUAACAUAUGGCUCCACAAAUUCGGUGCUCGAACGGCUGCUGCAUCAAUACGUUCACGUUCAUUCACCACUCUCGCUUCUCUUUCCCCCGUUGAAGAUACUGAAGACAUUCAAUUGAACGUAAUUCCAAAAGAAGAUGCAAGGGAAUUGGUUUCUAAUACUAGCAAUAACAACAAUUACAAGUCUAAUAAGUCUUAUUAUCCGAAGCGAGGGCAAACACUGGAGCUAGUAUGUGAAUCCCUUGCUUUCAAAGGAAAAGGCGUCUGUAAAGUUGCUGACAGUGGUUUUGUACUCAUGUGUGAUCGUG
rnacentral:misc_RNA from 1 species